rnacentral:rRNA from 1 species
UUGGAAACGACUGCUAAUACCGCAUAACGUCUACGGACCAAAGGGGGGGACGCUUCGGCACCUCUCGCUCAUUGAUUAGCCCAAGUGAGAUUAGCUAGUUGGUAAGGUAAUGGCUUACCAAGGCGACGAUCUCUAGCUGGUUUGAGAGGAUGAUCAGCCACACUGGGACUGAGACACGGCCCAGACUCCUACGGGAGGCAGCAG